rnacentral:rRNA from 1 species
CCUACGGGAGGCAGCAGUGGGGGAUAUUGCACAAUGGGGGAAACCCUGAUGCAGCGACGCCGCGUGGGCGAAGAAGUAUUUCGGUAUGUAAAGCCCUAUCAGCAGGGAAGAAGAAAUGACGGUACCUGAGUAAGAAGCACCGGCUAAAUACGUGCCAGCAGCCGCGGUAAUACGUAUGGUGCAAGCGUUAUCCGGAUUUACUGGGUGGAAAGGGAGCGCAGGCGGCACGGCAAGCCUGAUGUGAAAGCCCGCGGCCCAAGCGCGGGACUGCAUUGGGAACUACCGGGCUGGAGUGCCGGAGAGGUAGGCGGAAUUCCUAGUGUAGCGGUGAAAUGCGUAGAUAUUAGGAGGAACACCAGUGGCGAAGGCGGCCUACUGGACGGUGACUGACGCUGAGGCUCGAAAGCGUGGGGAGCAAACAGGAUUAGAUACCCUUGUAGUC